AUUGAACGCUGGCGGCAGGCCUAACACAUGCAAGUCGAGCGAGCGGCGGACGGGUGAGUAAUGCCUGGGAAUUGCCCAGUCGAGGGGGAUAACAGUUGGAAACGACUGCUAAUACCGCAUACGAUUGGCUUGCCCAGGUGGGAUUAUCUAGUUGGUGAGGUAAUGGCUCACCAAGGCGACGAUCCCUAGCUGGUCUGCGAGGAUGAUUAGCAACACUGGAACGGAGACAAGUUCCAGACUCCUACGGAAGGCAGCAGUGGGGAAUAUUUGACAAUGGGGACAACCCUGAUGCAGCCAUGCCGCGGAUGUGAAGAAGGCCGUCGGGUUGUAAAGCACUUGCAGCGAGGAGGCGUUACUCGCAGAAGAAGCACCGGCUAACUCCGUGCCAGAAGCCGCGGUAAUUG
rnacentral:rRNA from 1 species